rnacentral:rRNA from 1 species
CCCUUGUCCUUAGUUACCAGCACGUUAUGGUGGGCACUCUAAGGAGACUGCCGGUGACAAACCGGAGGAAGGUGGGGAUGACGUCAAGUCAUCAUGGCCCUUACGGCCUGGGCUACACACGUGCUACAAUGGUCGGUACAGAGGGUUGCCAAGCCGCGAGGUGGAGCUAAUCCCACAAAACCGAUCGUAGUCCGGAUCGCAGUCUGCAACUCGACUGCGUGAAGUCGGAAUCGCUAGUAAUCGCGAAUCAGAAUGUCGCGGUGAAUACGUU